AAUAAUAAUUUAUAUUUAUAUAUAUAAUUAUUUAUUUAUAUAUAUAUAUAGGUUAUAUAAUUUGUAUAAGUAUAAAAUACAUGAAUUCGAGCUGUUAUCGAGCAGAAUAUGAGCGAGCUAACCUAGCUCGUGUAAAGCUGAAAAAUUUAGUUCGUAUUCGGCUCGUUCAUUAGACGGGCGAUUUGUUCUCGAGCUCAUUUCGAGCCGGACACGAAUUGACUCGCGAACAAUGAGCUGGAUUGCCACCCCUACCUACACCCACUGCGUCUGGACAUUUGUAUACGAAGAAAAUAAAAGAAGAGCGAGAAAAAAAAGUAAUAAGAAUAUUUUCGUCCGGUGACAAAAAAUUCGAUUUAAAUCUGCAAAAUUGAAAAAUAUGGUCUAAUUUUGUAAAAGUUCAAAACUCGUGGAGUUUUUAUGCAAAUUGGUCUAAUAAUAAUAAGGUUAUAUCAAUUCAGAUACUUGGAAUAUUCAGAUACUUCUAAAAUAUCUUGUCCAGAAAGUAGAUAAUAUAAUUGAUUGUUUCUUGAACCAUCAACUUUGAUUGCAAAUCAUUGGUCUAAUUAAUAAUCAUGCUCAUUGGCUUGUUUCCAAGAAAAAUAAAAUAUUCUUCGCUGCCUCGAUAUUUUAUCCUUAUAGAUUAUUAAUGUGUUAUGAUAAUAUAUCUAUAUGAUAUUAGCUAAAUUACAGAAAAUGUUUCUAUAAAUAUCUGUUUUUUUAUUUUUCCUCUUUAAUUUUUAAAAAUCUAUAUUUUGUCUCCUUGAAAUUUCAGAAAUAUUUUCAGAAGGGUACGGUGUUAAUGGAGAGAAAAAAUGAUCAAAUUGCCCUUACUUAUUCUAUAAGAAUAGAAAGAAAUUAUUUUUUAAUAUAUUUCUGUCAUUUUGAAUGACAUUUUUGAUAUAAAUUACAAAAAAUAGACGGAAUAGUGAUGGGACCUUGACAGAGGAGGACUAAAUGUAACAACUGAAAAUUUUAAGAAGGUAAAAUAUAAGUACUUUUUUCAUUUUUUCUUUCUAACUUUCAAAAACUUAUAUUUUGCUCUUUUAAAAUUUCAAAAAUAUUUUCAAGUGGUACGGUGUUAAUGGAGAGGAAAAAAUGACUAAAUUAUUCUUAUUUCUUUUAUAAAAAAAAAUUAUUUUUUAAUAUAUUUCUAGCAUUUUGAAGAGCAUUUUUGGUGUAAAUUACAAAAAAUAGACGGAAUAGUGAUGGAACCCUGACGGAAGGGAAUUAAAUGCAACAACUUGAAAUUUUAAGAAGGUAAAAUAUAAAUUUUUUAAAGUGAAAGAUAGAAAGUGAAAAAGCAAAUAUUUACAUGGGAGCUUUCUGUAAUAUAGCCUAUGAUAUUUUAGGACUGUCGUAUGAGUCAAUUAAAGGUUCGUAUAUCAUGCGUGCUAACACAUCAAUAACACAUAAAAGUAAUAGUAUCUUGAGGGAUUCUUAGUGAUAAUAAAAAACAAAACGUAAUUGUAAGGUAACUAAUUGCUUGCACGACAGCACGGUGCCAUAUAAGUACUGAAGCUGUCACACUCUGAAUCCUACAUGCUAUGAUUCGGAUCCGUACCACAACAACCGGCCAUGAAUACAAAGAAAGAAUUUCCAAAAUGGAAGAUCUUAAGCUACCGUUUGGUUCGAGGUUAAGUAAAAACUUGUUAUUUGAGGAAUAGAGUUAAGUUCAAGGUGGGGUUAGAAUAAUUUUGUGUUUAGUUAAGAAUUUGGUUUAGUUCAGGUAUAAGUAAAAUAGUAUUUGGUUGGAGUAGGUGGGAUAAAAAAGAUAGCGAGUAAAAUAAUAUUUUGUUUGGUUGGAGUAGUGGGGUGGGGUGGGACGCUACCCCCCAAAUUGGGUGUUUGGGAAUAACUUCGGGGUUAAGGAGUUAUUCCACCCCUUAACUCCGAACCAAAUGGGUGCUAAGUAGAUUCAAGAAAAACUUCAAAUACCACCCCUGUAGUUUCACACUUUUUCACUUUAGUACACUAUGAUUUAAAGUGUAUCAAUUUAGUGCUAUGUGGUUUCAUUUUUAUCUUUUUAUUAUCGAUUUCACUAAUGUUUUUCGUUAUAUCAGUGACAAAGUUAAAAUUAAAGGGUACUAAAGUGAAUAUUCGAUAAACUUAAAUGGGGUAUCUGAAAUUUUUUUGUUUAUAAUUUAACGAAAUAUUAACGAAAAAGCUGACUAAAAGAUAAAAAUGAAAUUACAGGACACUAACUUGAUACACUUUAAACCACAUGGUACUAAAAUGAGAAAGUACGAAACUAAGGGGUGGUAUUUGAAGUUUACCCUAUAUUAUUAACGACUAAAUAAAUUAAUUUAUUAAUGAGAACGAAGUUGUGCAGUAACUAAUGAAUGUCCAAUUAUAAUGAAUAUUAAUAAAAAACCGUCCUUUUCAAUCUAAUUCAGAUCAAAAUAAACUGCGUAUCCAUAAAAUGAAGUCUAUUUGACGUGUCUUCACCCGCUGAUAUUUCAAACAUUUUGACUCUCUGUAUCUAAAAUGGUAGACAACAAAAAUAAGCACAACGUUUAGUAAAAAAUUUACUUUAAAGAAUAAAUAAUAAUUUGAAAUUUGAAAUUAAAACAAUUAUACUUCGGAGCAUCUCCGCUCGGUUGCUCUGAUCACGAGAGCUAUAAUUACAUGUUGUUUCUCUUCGGAAACCCCAUACAGAAUAAAUUUAUGCUGUUUAUAGAAAAGUAGAUAAUAGAUCAUUGUAAUAAUAAAUAAUAAUAAUGUGUAAGAGUAAAUAAAUCACAACAAGUAAUAAAUAAUCAUAAAAUUUACUUGCGUGUACUAGUAUCUAGUAAACAAAAUAGAUAAUAUAUUAUGUCUCAGCCCUACAUGGAUCUGUAUAUUUUCUACCGUUUAUAGAAAAGUAGCUUUUUACUUGUCCUUGUUAGUGCUAAAAAAAUCUUCACAUUAUAAGAUUGUAGUUUCAGAGGAGUUCCAGAAACUAGAACGAUGCAAAGCCAAAAUAAGAUAAUUUUUCAAGCAAACCCUUCUACUUUUAAAUAUUUUGCCAAAUAGGAAUAAUCUUAAAAAAAGAAGAGUCGACUUCUACUUUUAAAUAUUUUGCCAAUUAGGAAUAAUUAGGGGUGUAAAACGGGCCGGGCGGCCCGUGGCCCGCCCCGCCCGGCACGGCUGCGGGCCGGGCCGUGGCCCGGCACGACCACUGUAGCACCCGGGUCGUGCCGGGCCCGGCAGGCACUUCGGGCCGUGCUGGGCCUCACAUUUGGAGCCCGACGGCCCGGCACGGCACGGCCCGAAACGGGCCUGGACCGUGCCGGGCCGAGGAGAGCGGUGGCCCGCACGGCACGGCCGAUUGGGCUGUGCCAGCCGGGCAGCACAGCCCGGAACCCAGGCCCAAGGCAGGAGAUUCCCAAGGUCUGCCUUUUGGUCCAAUGGACCAAAAACCCAUCUCAAAUUUAUUUUAUUUUUUAAUAAAACAAUAUAUAAAUAAAUUUAAAUAUUUAUUAUUUUAUAAUUAUUUUUAUAAAUUUAAAUUUUAAGUUAAAUAUCAGUUUAAAUAAAAUUAUUUAUUGUUUAUAUUUUUGUAGAUUAUAUAUAUUUUUUAAAAAAAAUUAAAAAGGGGCCGGCCCGAAGCACUGCCGGCCCGGCACAGCCGUGCCUUCCGGGCAGGGGCCGUGCCUGGCCGAAGGGUAGGAGUUCGGCCGGCACGGCCCGGCCCGGAUUAGUUACGGGCCGGCCGGGCCAGGCCCUAGCCCGUUUCGACUCGGAAAAUGUGGGCUAUGCCGGCCCGCAAGCCCACAUUACACCCCUAGGAAUAAUCUUAAAAAAAGAUGAGUCGACUAUAAAUAUAUAUAUAUAUAUAUAUAUAUAUAUAUAUAUAUAUAUAUAUAGUCCGGCUAUGGUGCUUGUAAAAGUACAAAGCUCUUGGUGCUUGUAAAUUUUUUACCGUUAGAUUUACUCUUUGGAUCAUUUUCAUCUGUUAGAUUAUACUAUUCAACCAACCACCCACUCAACUCUAAGGGUUCCACAUCAUCCUAACCACAUAUCUCUUAGUCCUAACCACACACAUACACAUAUAUACAUACAUAUAUAUACAUGAAUUGAGCUGGAAUACUUCUAAAAGUAGUAAGGGGUAGGCGUUUUUAUGUUUGUAGCCCUUUGAUGGAGUUGUUGUAGGACUGGGAUGAUAGAAGCCCACUAGGGUUUAGUGGUGGUAGAUGGAAUAGUGUUUGAUGUAGAGGCUAGAAAUGGUCUAAGGAUUAAUCCAAUGGUAGAAAACUUUAAAAGCACCAAGGUGUUGUUGUUUUUAGAUGUAUUCUAGCUUCUCUCUCUCUCUCUCUCUAUAUAUAUCUAUACAUUUAUAUAUGCAUAUACAUAUACAUAUAGAAUUAGAUUGGAAUACUAUCAAUAGUACGAAGCUAUCGGUGCUAUUAGGUUUUCGACCCUUGGAUGAAGAAAUGUACGGUUAGGAUGAUGUGGGCUCUCUUGGGUUGAGUAAAUUGUUGGUUGAAUAGUAUAAUCUAAUAGGUGAAAAUAGUCAAAGGGUUAAAUCUAACGGUGGAAAACUCGAUAGCUCCAAGUGCUUGGUGCUAUCAAUAGUAUCCCAGCAAGACUCUAUACAUAUAUAUAAUUGGGCUGGAAUACUAUUAAUAGUAUUCCAGCACUUUUACUACCCAGUAUUUAACCAUUGGAUGAAAAAUUGUAUGAUUAGGAUGAUAGUGGUCCCCUAUAGUUUAGUGGUGGUCCCUCUAGAGUUGAGUGGGCGAUUGGUUGAAUAGUAUGAUCUAAAGGGUGGAAUUGAUUAAAGUAUAGAUCUAACAGCUAAAAAGUCGAUAGCAAAAGAGUCCAAACACUAUUCCAGCUCAACUCUCUCUCUUUCUCUCUCUAUAUAUGUAGAAAGAGAGUUGAGCUAGAAUGCUACGAGUAGCAAACGGGCUUCGUUGCGACCCAUUUAUUUUCGAUGAUGGAGUCUCCAAAUCAACGAUCGACACUGUCGAACAUGAUCUAUGCCACUUGAAAUAUUUAGAAAUUAAAUUUCAGGCAUUUUCGAUAUUAUUUUUUUAUUCAUCAAGUGGACACAAAAAUGGACGGCUAAUUAAAAAUGAAUAAUCUUUAAAAAGUGAUGAUAAGAGUCUUGUAAUCAAAAUCAAAAGUAUAGAUCUCGUUUUAAAUAGCUUAAAAAAUUUUCUAACAAAAAUUCAAUUGAUUUGGAUAUCUUUACGCCGUUAAGCGAGAAAACGUCUCAUAUCAACUGCAAAAAUUUUAAAUUUUGAAACCCUUUGAUUAUUAGGCAAAUGAUGUCAAAAAGAUUUGGAAUUUAAUUUCUAAACACUUCAAGUGAUAUAGAUCAUAUUCAGCGGAGCCGGCGGUCGAUUUGGAGGCUCCAUCAUCAAAAACAAAUCGGUGGCAGGAGCCCGUUUGCUACCGAUAGCAUUCCAGCUCAUCUCUCUCUCUCUCUCUCUCUCUCUCUCUCUGUAUAUAAAAUACAAGUUGGGCUUAAAUUAUUAAUCUCAAUUUAUUUAGGGAGGGUACUUUGAGAGGCAAGCUAAUGGACUGGGCCCAGAGAAAGAAAAAAGUUACUUUGGACCUUGUGGUCCACCUGGCCCAUCAUGAGGAUAAUAUGGGAUCUUCAUUAUUUAUAUUUUAAUUCUUUUUUUUUUAGAUUUUCUCUUGUUGGGGUAGGCCUAGGGAUGUCAAUGGGUCUGGGAUACCCGAAAUAUUAUCUGAAUCCGAACCCGAAUGGGCCGGGUUUAUCCGAGCUAAACGGAUAUGGAUUCAGUUAUUGUUAUAGAAAAUAAAAACCCGACGGAUAUGGAUACGGGUAUGGAUUUUGUAUUUACCCUACCCGAACCCAAAUCUGAAUAAAUUAUAACAUUUUGAUAUCUAGAUAUUGUAUUAGAUAUUUAAAGAAUAUAUUGUUGUCUUUAAGUAUUUGAAUUUGUGCUUUUCUUAUUCAGAUUUUGAUAUUGUAUGGCAUGAAUGUUUUAAUGUUGUAUUUGAUUGUGUUUUAAAAAUUUUAUUUUGAAAAUUUUGAUUUUACUAUAAUAUAUUUUGAAAUAUGAUAAAGAGAAAUUAUUAUUUUGGGUUCGGGUUCGGGUUCGGGUUCGUGUUCGGAUUUCGGGUUUUUAGUCGGGCUCGUAUAUGGGUAUGGAUUUUUAAAACCCGCCGGGUUCGGAUCCGGGUUUUGGGUUCGGGUUUUUGAAAACCCGGCCUAAACCCGAUUGGUCCCUUGCAAUGAGCUUAGUUGGAUUUCUCUGUCACGCAUAUAAUCCUAAUAAAACAUUGGAAAUUAAGCUUGUUAAGUGAACUAAUAUUGGCUUAGUCAAAGCCGCAAUGUGGAGACAUGUAUCUGAUUGGUAGUACAGUUGGUAAAGAUUUUACUUUCGUACGAAUGGUUUAAUUCAGAAAUAUUUCUAAAAAUUUAGUAUAGAAAAGAUGGUGCGUAAAAAAUCUAUAAAUUAUUUAUACUUACACCUCUUUUCCCUUUUUUUUUUCUUUUUUUUUUUUUUCUUUCUUUCUUUUUGUGAUUGAAGUUUAGAGGAGUAUAGUUUGAUUAUCUCUUUGUUUGUUUUGGGUGAAUUUGGUUUGGGGGAUAAAAAUGGGAUUUUGUGAGAGGGGGUUUUAACUUUAACUUUUAAGUGCUGCAGGGAAAAAAAGAAAAAGAAAGAAGAAGAAGCUUCUAGAGUUCCAGAAUCUCCUGGUGGCUCUCUUUUAGGCUGAUUUAGUGGUGGGUUUGGGAGAAAGAUGAGAUCUUGUGAGCAUCUGCUCUGAUCAAUCUGCACUGCUCUGCAGUAAAAGUUGGAUCUUGGAAGGAAAAGAGUUGUCAAAUUAUUUAUUGAGGGAAGCAUUUGAUUGCCAAACUCAGGAAGGGAGAUUUUGCAUUGCAAUCUUCUGGUGGUGGUUUUGUAUCAUCCAGCUAGGGUUUUUUUUUUUUUUUUUUUUUUUUUUUUUUUUUUUUUUUUUUUUNNNNNNNNNNNNNNNNNNNNNNNNNNNNNNNNNNNNNNNNNNNNNNNNNNNNNNNNNNNNNNNNNNNNNNNNNNNNNNNNNNNNNNNNNNNNNNNNNNNNNNNNNNNNNNNNNNNNNNNNNNNNNNNNNNNNNNNNNNNNNNNNNNNNNNNNNNNNNNNNNNNNNNNNNNNNNNNNNNNNNNNNNNNNNNNNNNNNNNNNNNNNNNNNNNNNNNNNNNNNNNNNNNNNNNNNNNNNNNNNNNNNNNNNNNNNNNNNNNNNNNNNNNNNNNNNNNNNNNNNNNNNNNNNNNNNNNNNNNNNNNNNNNNNNNNNNNNNNNNNNNNNNNNNNNNNNNNNNNNNNNNNNNNNNNNNNNNNNNNNNNNNNNNNNNNNNNNNNNNNNNNNNNNNNNNNNNNNNNNNNNNNNNNNNNNNNNNNNNNNNNNNNNNNNNNNNNNNNNNNNNNNNNNNNNNNNNNNNNNNNNNNNNNNNNNNNNNNNNNNNNNNNNNNNNNNNNNNNNNNNNNNNNNNNNNNNNNNNNNNNNNNNNNNNNNNNNNNNNNNNNNNNNNNNNNNNNNNNNNNNNNNNNNNNNNNNNNNNNNNNNNNNNNNNNNNNNNNNNNNNNNNNNNNNNNNNNNNNNNNNNNNNNNNNNNNNNNNNNNNNNNNNNNNNNNNNNNNNNNNNNNNNNNNNNNNNNNNNNNNNNNNNNNNNNNNNNNNNNNNNNNNNNNNNNNNNNNNNNNNNNNNNNNNNNNNNNNNNNNNNNNNNNNNNNNNNNNNNNNNNNNNNNNNNNNNNNNNNNNNNNNNNNNNNNNNNNNNNNNNNNNNNNNNNNNNNNNNNNNNNNNNNNNNNNNNNNNNNNNNNNNNNNNNNNNNNNNNNNNNNNNNNNNNNNNNNNNNNNNNNNNNNNNNNNNNNNNNNNNNNNNNNNNNNNNNNNNNNNNNNNNNNNNNNNNNNNNNNNNNNNNNNNNNNNNNNNNNNNNNNNNNNNNNNNNNNNNNNNNNNNNNNNNNNNNNNNNNNNNNNNNNNNNNNNNNNNNNNNNNNNNNNNNNNNNNNNNNNNNNNNNNNNNNNNNNNNNNNNNNNNNNNNNNNNNNNNNNNNNNNNNNNNNNNNNNNNNNNNNNNNNNNNNNNNNNNNNNNNNNNNUUUCACACUUUUUCAUUUUAGUACCCUGUGGUUUGAAGUGUAUCAAGUUAGUACCCUGUGGUUUCUCACUUUAUCACUUUAGUACCCUGUGGUUUAAAAUGUAUCAAGCUAGUACCCUGUGGUUUUGCACUUUAUCACUUUAGUACCCUGUGGUUUCACACUUUAUCACUUUAGUACCUUGUGAUUUAAAAAACUAUAGGGUAUUAACUUGAUACAAAAUUAAAACUACAGGGUACUAAAGUGAUAAAGUGCAAAACCACAGGGUACUAACUUGAUACACUUUAAACCACAGGGUACUUAAGUGAUAAAGUGAGAAACCACGGGGUACUAACUUGAUACAUUUUAAACCACAGGGUAUUAAAGUGAAAAAAAUUGAAACCACAAGGGGGGUUUUUGAAGUUUUCCCUUGUUUCAAUAGAAAAUGCAUAUUUUUUGAUGGUCAACAGUCAACUUGUGCCAUAAUACGAGUCAAAUGGGAGUGUUCAAUUUACUCAUUUUAAACCUUAAAGGAUCAAAGUGUUUUGAUUAUUAUAUUUCUCAAGCGCUUAUACGUAAUCGUUCUGUUAAAUGGAAUGGUAUUGUUAACGGUACUAGUUUUGAUAUUAAUAGAUAGAUUCAUUAAAUUAAAAUUAGAUACGAUCUGUCUAAUCUGCUCAUGACAGAAAUAACUAUGAAUAUUAUAUCACUUUUUUUUUUUUGUGAAUUAUGGAAUUAAAGUUUAUGGUGUUUGUUGUUCUGCAGGUGAUGUUUGAUCACAGAAAGGAGAGGAGGGAGCUGCUGGAGGGGUUGGUGAUCAGCAAUAGAGAUGCAAGAAUCCCAUCAUUCCAACAGGUAAAAGAGGGGGAAAAAUUUAAAAAAAAAAUAAAAAAAUUAUUAUAUAAAUAAAUAUUGAAAAAUGAUGGGCUUUACUGGUCCCACUAUUUUUUUUUUUCAUUUUUAAGCGGAAAAAAAUCUUAAUANUUGUGGCUUAAAAAGUGAACAAGCUAGAGACCGUUAGAGCACUGAAAAGGACUUUUUUUUUUUUUUUUUUCCUUCUCUUAAAAAAUCUAAAAAGUUAACUUUUUUUUUAAGGAAAAAAAAAAGAGAAAAGGACAUAAAAAAGGGUGGUUACAACAAUCCAAGCUAACACACCAACACCAACAAUGGUCUUGAUAGGUGAGGAGUUGAUGGACCAAUGAAACAUUGACUAAGACACAAAUUAAACAAGUAUACAAAUUAAUAUAUAAGAUCCUUUAAAUGGGCCCCACAUGACCCCCACACCAAAAUGAACCAAUCGUUGAGCGCCACAUCAUCGAUCGCGCCAUAUCUACUCUCCAAAGUGUACACAGCAACACUCUCUUAUUUAUAGUGUUAGCCAAGAAGUGUUACUCCAAGACAAGCAUAGAGAGUGUUGUUUUACUGCUUAGAGAGAAAGAGAGAGAGAUCUAGAGAGAAAGAGAGAGAGAGAGAAUGGUGAACAUAAUCGAGGGGCAGAAACCUCUCUUACACACCCUAGUGAGGAUGGCGGGGCUCCGACCGGUGCUCGUCGAGCUCGAGCCGGGCACCGUCAUGCACUUUUGGGCGCCCAAACACCGCCUUCCGUCGCAGAAGAAGACUAGUGCGGCCGCGAUCACUGUCGACAAAUCUACCCCGGUGGAUGUUCCAGAAUCCAACACUACUAUUGCCAACACAACAGCGGCCUUAUCUAGGCCCAGUAAGAACAGGGCCCGUAGAAUUUGGCCCAGUAGGAAUCGGCCCAAGCCCGCGAUCGUCCUCGUCCACGGCUUUGCGUCCGAGGGGAUCGUCACUUGGCAGUUCCAGUUCGGCGUGCUGGUCUCAGAUUACGACGUGUACAUCCCUGAUCUGUUCUUUUUCGGUAAGUCGACGACCGUCCAGCCCGACCGGUCGCCAGAAUUCCAGGCCGGGUGCGUCGCCAGGGCACUUGACAUGCUCGGAGUGGAACGGUGUCACGUCGUAGGGUUCAGCUACGGAGGGAUGGUGGCGUUUAAGUUGGCGGAGGCCCGACCGAGCCUGGUCCGGUCGUUGGUCGUGACCGGUUCGGUCAUUACGAUGACCGAUUCGAUAAACGAGGCCAGUUUGACGCGGCUCGGGGCCGCCUCGUCGGCGGACCUCCUCUUACCGGAGACCCUUGAGAGGCUCAAGGCGCUUCUGAAGAUGUCCAUGUACAAGAAGUUGUGGUUUCCCGACCGGUUCUAUAAAGAUUAUCUCGAGGUUUGUAGUAAUAAUUAGUUUUAUUCGGGGCUUUUGUUUAUGUACCUUUUACUAUUGCUCAAAAUUUUUAAAUAUAUCUUGAAAUUACCAAAAUACUCUUAUAAAUAAAUUUUUAAAGAUAAUCAAGGAUAGUUGGUCCUCCAAAAAUAAAAAAGAUACUUUUGAAGUUUUGAAGAUUAUUAGAUAUUAUCAUUUAUUAGAUAUAUAGGAUGAGUUAACAACAUAUUCCCAAAUAAUAAUAUAAUUAAUUUUUCUUGUCUAAAAUUGAUUUUAGCGUAUUUAUAAAUCCUCCUAAAUUAUAGUCAUUCAACAUGUUUAGUGCUAGUUGGCCUUUUUUUUUUUUGGAAAAAAAAACCUUUGUUUUUAAAUUAAUUAUAAUAGUUGUUUCAAGGGAAAACUUCAAAAACCCCCCCUGUGGUUUCACACUUUUUCAUUUUAGUACCCUGUGGUUUGAAGUGUAUCAAGUUAGUACCCUGUGGUUUCUCACUUUAUCACUUUAGUAUCCUGUGGUUUAAAAUGUAUCAAGCUAGUACCCUGUGGUUUUGCACUUUAUCACUUUAGUACCCUGUGGUUUCACACUUUAUCACUUUAGUACCUUGUGAUUUAAAAAACUAUAGGGUAUUAACUUGAUACAAAAUUAAAACUACAGGGUACUAAAGUGAUAAAGUGCAAAACCACAGGGUACUAACUUGAUACACUUUAAACCACAGGGUACUUAAGUGAUAAAGUGAGAAACCACGGGGUACUAACUUGAUACAUUUUAAACNAUAUUGAAAAGUGAAAUAAGGAGUAAGGAUAUCAAUAGGUAUGGAUAUCCGAAAUAUUAUCCGAAUUCAAACCCGAAUAAAUUAUAUAUAUAUACAUAAUUUAUUUUUGUUUAUUUAUACAAUAUAUAAAAUAUUUAAUAAUUUUUAUUUCUUAGAUCUUCAUUCAACGGUAUAGUUUUUAAAAUCUGCUGGGUUGGAUGAAGAUCUAAGGAAUAAAAAUUAUUAAAUAUUUUAUAUAUUGUAUAAAUAAACAAAAAUAAAUUAUGUAUAUAUAUAUAAUUUAUUCGGGUUUGAAUUCGGAUAAUAUUUCGGAUAUCCAUACCUAUUGAUAUCCUUACUCCUUAUUUCACUUUUCAAUAUACAAAAAAUACGUAACAAAAAAUACGUACUAAACACGGUGAACCAUUCACCGUGUUUGAACACGGUAAAUGGUUCACCGUAUUCAACUUAACACACUGGCCCAGCCCUGCCCGCGUGGCGCUGACGUGGCGCCUGCGUGGCAGGUCCGGGACCAUUUUUGCAAAUUAAAUUUUGACAGGACUAUUUUUAAAAUAAAAAUUUCUCAGGGGUCUAAAUGCAAAAAAAGCCCAUAAAUAUUUUAUACUCGUACCGGAACAAAAACUAAAUUUAGAUUUUAAAUUUGGGAAGAAACUGUUUGUUGCACAUAUACCAAAUUACCAAUAAUAAUAAAUUUUAUGACUAUAUUUAUAUUCACACUAUUGUUUUGUCACUUUUUAUUCACCAACAAGGGACUAUUCAUUAUGACACACGCACACACACUUUAAUAGUUAAUAUGAUGCAAGAAUAUAAGAUCAUGUCAUAUUCGAUGAUGGGACACUCGAUUCGAUAAUCCGUAUCAUUAAAUAUAAUAUAAAUCUUACCAACUUUCCAAAAAUCAAAUUUCGUAAUUUUUCCAACGCUCCUUAUCUCUUGGUCAAGUAGUUUUAAAAUUAAUGAAUUUCAAAAGUAUAUGUAAGGUACGUAUUUACAGAUAGUUGAUCACUUAAUAAAUAAUAUUGAAAAAUCAUAAAAUCUGGUUGGCUGAAAAAUUUAACAGACGUAGCUAAUAUUCAAUAAUGUCGAUCGUCGAUUUUCAGAUGUCAUCGCGGAAAACGAAUAGAAAAUUUUAAGAAAUGAGUACUUCUGACUUAUUAUAUAUUUUCUUUUUUCUUUUUCUUUUUUUUAUUUUUAUGUCAGGCAAUUAGGAGAAAACACUUCAUUGGUUGGAAUAAGCAAAGCUGGUCAUCUCCUCCACAUGGAACGCCCCUGCGCAUUCAAUCGCUAUCUCAAGAGAUUCCUCUCUUAUGUUGAUUCUCAUCAUGAUGAUGAUAAUAAUAAUAAUAAUAAUAAUGAUAAUAAUAAUAAUGAUAAUGAUAAUGCUUAUUAGCUACUAUAUAAUCCCAUUUAUAAACACUCUCUCAGGGUCUCUACUACUUCAGGCUUCAAAACUAGGUAAGUACAAUUUAUUUUUUAUAAUCGAGAAAUAUUUCAAAUCUCUUUGAAUGUUAUCUUUAUAAAGUGUUGAUAUAUUGAUAGAUAUAUAUGAUAUUCUUAAGCUGCAUACGAUAACUAAUUAUAGGAUUUCGAGUAAUAUAUGUCAACACAUCAAUAACGUAUAAAAGUAACAUUCUAAAAGAUUUGUUGUAUUUUUCUGCGCAUUAUUAUCCCCUUUAUAUGAGUUAAAAAGAAAGGCAAAGUGAUUAGUUAAGAUUGUUGUAUUGGGUUAUUGGGUGGAAUAUUUGUUCAAUUGGGUAUUUAUGUAUUUGUAUUCCUUAAUUUGUAUGUAUGAUUUGGCUUGUGAAUGUAGUCCCCAAAAAAUAUUUAUCAAUGAGUAGCUAUUUUGAAAUUGAUCCACCAACUAUAUUUUCACUUUUUUUUAAAAUUUUUUUUUGUUGAAUUAGCACUCUCGUGAUUUGGAUUAACACAUUCAAUUCGCAAUUUCGGAUAAAAACACUUUUUUCAUUAGUAAGUAGAUUCAGAAUUAAGUGUUACGAACACUAAUAUGAAAUAUGGAAUAUGGAAUAAGACACGACUCGAACAUGGCGACUCGGCAGCUUUCAAAAAAUCAGAACACGAAUACGGUAUGAACACCGCUAAUAAAAUAUAAUAUUAUUAAUAUAAUAAUAUAAUAUUUUAUUAUAUAUAAAAUAUUGUUAUAUUUCUUAUACGAUUAAAAGUUAAUAAAAUUUUCAUUAAUUGUUGAUAUAUUUUAAGAUAGAAAUUCUCCACUAUAUAUAAUUUAUUUAUAAUGUCCAAAAAAAUUUUGUAUGCAUUUAUAAAAAGCUAAAAUAUUUAUUAUCUUACAUUAUAUAUACAUAAAAUNUAUAUAUAUAUAUAUAUAAUUGUAUGCAUUAUGGAUCAGCAUCGAACACGCGUUCAGAAAAUAUCUACAUCGGACACGUGUCUGACACAGAGACGUGCGUGUCCGACAUUGACACAUGAUGUUUAUAGAAAUGUCAGUGAUACAUAGACCCAGAAUCAGAAGUCCAUGAUGCAAAAACAGAACAUAGACAAACUACUUACCAGUUAAAAUACAAAUGAAGUAGAUAGAAUCUGUUAAGAGAUUAUUUAAAUCAGUAACAAGAGCACUAAACUCCACCACCACAAAAAAUAAAAUAAAAUAAAAUAAAAUCACAUGAAUUAAAUAUUUUUAUCAAGACCAUUGGACAACUUUUACAUCCAUCCAAUUCUAAUUAACAGUUUUAAAACUGAAUAGAAAAGAAAACAAGAACAACUCUUCAUGCUGCUCCUGUUGGUCGAAAAAACAGCGGCCCCUCGACGCUACCGAAUCUCUUCAAAACCAUUCUAACUCUCCUCCAAAGCUAAAACAACAUCGGUUAUGAAAAAGCAUUCGCAAAAACCGGUUGCUGAAAAAGCUUCAGCUUCCCCCUGAGGCAGAAGCAUCCUCUUUUUCUGCUGCGAUAUUUCCCGCACCCUCGUUCGACAGUUUGAUGCGCUGGUAAUGCUCUGCCACCUUAUAAUCGACUACUUCUCUAAACAGCUGCGAAUCCAACACGCAGUCCGGGCGGCCGUACACCGCCGCUUGCACACUCGCCAUCAGCUUCGCAAUCUCUCUCCCCGAAAAGCCCUCGGUCUUCUUAGCUGCCUCCAAAAGCACUUCGUCGCUUAUAUCCUUGACCACUAUUUUCUGCGGCUGCCUCUUGAACAAUGAUCUCCACGGCGGUGAGGAUUCAUUGCUGUUAUUUUCUUGUAACAUGUAUUUGUUUAGGUAGAGUUUGAGGAGUUUGAAUCUUUCCUCUUCUCCGGGGAGCGGGAAUUCGAUCACUUCGUCGAUUCGGUCGGUUACAGCGGCGUCGAGAUCGCCCGGCCGGUUUGUUGCGAGGACGAGAAUGAUGUCCCGCGAUUGGUCACCGGUCCGGAAGAGCAGUGCGUUGAGAGCGCUCCGCUGGGCCUCGCUCAUGUAUGUGCUAUUACGCCUGAUCAAUAAGGAGACGAUUUCAAGAUAUUAACCAUAGACCAGCAAAGCAGGAUUAGCAUAAAAAGUUUUUUUUGGCUAAGAUCUAAAUUAGGAAACUAAGGGCCUGUUUAGGUUGGUUGGAGCAAAUAGAUCUGCUCGAAGAAGCACUAACCACUCUUUUACUAAUCCACCCAAAAACUUUUUGUUUUGGUGGCAAUAGAAGCUUCAUAUUGGAGCUUCUGCUUUUGGAGCUCAGAAUGUCAAAUGCUCAAGAAAAUAUAUGGCUUCAUUUUGCCACUAAGUACUCAAGGGGUACCGACAAGAUAAUUGAGCUAUGAUUAGAUUGUAGCAUGGGAGUGCCAAGUUGCCGACUUACUCGCACAAAAAGGCAUCAGCUUCGUCAAUGAAGAGCAGCAAGCCAUUUUUGGAUUUCUUAGCCCAAUCAAAUAUAUCAUGAAUCUUGGUCACGGCCUGCGAUCCCAGAGGUGCAACAUCGCCUCCUGUCAUCAUCGCAUAAUCCAGGCCCUGUGAUGUAAAUCACUCAGAUGACCGAAUUUUUCACUCUAAACUUCUCACAAUGUUCUACAAAUAGAAAAUUAGUGGAUAAUAUUUUGGUAAAAACGUACAGAACUUACCUGAACCAUGAACUAUUUUGAGUUGACUACCCAACCUUUCAAAAUUUUUAUUUUACUACCCAACAUUGCAACUUGCUUGAUUUGAGUCAGUCAAUGGCACUUUGGUUUUAAAAUUUGAAUAUGUCAUUUAUUUUUACAGGUUUAGUUAGUAUAUUUCAUAUAGUUCUUGCAACUAUAAAUUCAUUUAAUACUUAGCUUAAAAAUUUUAAAGUUAAAGUAUCAUUGACUGACUCAAAUUAAACAAAUUGAAAAGUUGGAUAAUAAAAUCAAAAGUUUGAAAGGUUGGAUAGAUGAUUCUACAUGGUCCAUAGUUCAGGUGAGUUCUGCACGUUUUUAUCUAAUAUUUUUUUAGUGUAGUUGCAUAAGCUAUGAAAAACCAUUGAUAGACAGCAAAAUUCACGCAGAAUAACUGGAAACAAACCGCUCGUUUUACAAGCAAAAAGAAACAUUUUUCUCAUCAAAUCUGCACAAGAACCUUGCAGAAAAUACAAAGAAAAGUGCAAGAAGGAGAUAUAGAAUUCAAACUUUACCGACUUGCGAGCCAUCUCCCUUGCCACCAAGGUUUUGCCAGUCCCUGGAGGUCCAUAGAACAGCAUGUUCCGAAAUGGCGCAUCGUGCGACUUAGUAUUCGCCGUAGCCCGCGCGAGCUGCUCAAUCCUCCUCUUCAAUGAAGGGUGAAGAAUGAUAUUCUCAAAGCUACUCCCGCUUUCCGAAGCUGCCCCAGAGCUAGAUGCCAAGGAUUUCUUAGUGAUCCGCGAAAUCAGGCCCGAAAAUGGAAACUUGGCCAUUGAGGACUCGCGAAUCAGUGAAGGUUGGCCCAGAAUUCUGUUGAUGUAUCCCCACAUAACCCUAGCACCUUCCCUGUAUAAGAUUUAGUCACGAAAUUGAUUAUUUAAGUUUGGCCAGCAUUUCAAUUUCGUCCUCAGAGUUUCAACUCUAACCCAAAAGUUUGAGGUCGAUUGCAAUUUAGUCCCUAAAGUUUGACCUCGGUUUCAAUUCUAUCCUCAAAGCUUCAACCUUAACAAAGGAAGUCUUAGGGCCCAUUUGGGAUUGACGGCCAUGGAGUUAGGGUAAAAGCAUAUAGAGAUAUGCAUUUCCGUUUUUUCAUGGCCUGUAGAAAAUAUAUUAUAACCAACUCACUACAAUAAGUGCAACUUGAUAUUGCAUACGAAAACAAGCAAGAUAUUUUUCCAUCGUGCUUUCUCACCGCAUGUAACACAAUUUUCCUACAAUCCGAAAUGGAACCUUAGAAGGGGCUGAGCUUGAAUAAUUUUUCUUUUUUUCAUGCAUUAAACUAAAGGAAAGAGUUAACUGUUAUGCAGAAUAAUUUCAGUGACUAAAUCGUACAAUUGAUAUCAUGAGGAUGUAUUUUAAAUUCAGAAAUAUUUCCCAAGGAACAAGAUUUGAAAAAGAAUUAUAGACUUUCAUCUAAAAAGCACAAAUUCAAAUACAGAGAAGCAGUAAAAAAAAAAAAAAUAAGUAAAAUGACAUUCUGAGCGAACCUAGUAGUGUAAACACCGGCAGCGAGUGCAGUAACUCCCCCAACAGCCAUUGCUAACUUAGUCCGAUCAGUCAUUAACGUCCUAACACCACCUGCAGAUUCAGAACAAGAAACAAAUCUCAGCAUCUAAAUUCAAGUUAGAUUAUAAAUAUGUGAAAUACCUAUUAGUUCUCGAUCUCAAAACUACCGAGAAUGACUUGAAAGUACAGUUCAAGGCACUUAAUUGUAGAAUUUCACAAUAAACUCGAUGAAAGAAGGAAGCAGAUAUUUUAUAAAUCAAAAAGGAUAUGAAAACAUCCAGUUAAUCAAAUUGUACAGAGAACAAUGUUUUCACUACUUCUGAAGUCAAAUUGAUAUAAUCAAAGCAAUAACAUUUGUCAAGUUUCUUAACAAAAAUAAGGCAAAAAAAAGAAGAGACACCAAUUGAGAAGUAACGAAAAACAGAAUAAUGAUUAACUCUAGACUAUACAGAAAAUGAGAACAAUUACAUCUUUUGAUGAUUAAGAAUUUGAACUGAGACAGUUCAAAAUUUAGGGGAAAAAGGUUCAAAUGUCCAUUUGAAAGAUAAAAACAUCCAACAUUAUGGUAUCAGACUUAAUAAAAAAAAACAAAAAGAAAAGAAAAGAUGAAAGUAAUUCUCAUCCAAUUGGACUCCAAGAAUUUAAAAUAAGGAUGCUUGUAGCAAAUUAGAGAUAGCCAUGUCAGCUUUAGCAAACAACACCUUCUAUAUGGUUAAAUGUUGCAUUUAUGGCGGCAAUCCACUUCUCUCUCUCGCCAUGCAUGCGCUCCAAAAGCAUUCUCUUAUUAUGCUCUUCAGUCAGUUUUGCUUCAUGAGCACGACCCUCAGCUUCCGCCAUAGCUUUGACUCUUAUUGUCUCACGCUCUAUUUCAGCUCUCUCUUUCUCGGUUUGUCUUUGCUGUGCUUGAAUCUGUUCCUCAGUAGCACGCCUAGCUUGUUCCUUUCUAACUGCAGACUCCUCUUGCAUUCUCACGAGUUCUGCGUUCUGUCGCCUCUGAGCUUCAUGUUCUGUCUGCAAAAUGUAUAACACUUGAUAUCUUUAUGAUGAGAAAAUUUACAUACGUGACACUGCAUAAUCUAAAUUUGUACAUCCCAUAAUCCACUUUUAUAAUCCUUCAAAAUUUUAACUUCUACAAAUAUACAGAUGUACUUAGAAAAGUGCAACUCUUUAAUAAACCUUUUCUACUAGAAAACCAACUUCCUCUCCAUGAAUUGGAUGACUCCCCAACUUAAGGAUGUUUUCAUUAAGAAAAAACAACAUUUUUUAGGGGUAUAUGUGAAGAAUCAGGUUUCACAGCGGAAUGCGUGAAUAGGUAAAUUUACAGAUAUAUGACGUAAAACCCACUUAGCUUUUUCUCUAUCAUCGAGUACAAAGGUUGAAGCGAAUGAAAAAAAAAAGUUCUUAUAAAAGAAACUGGGAAAUCAGAUGAGCAGAUUAGAAAGAUGACAAAAAAAAACCUGCAUUCUCUUUCUUGCUAAUUCAUCUUCAUAGCGCGCCAUUUGUGCCUUUGCUUGCGCUUGUUGUUGGACAAUGUUCCUCUGCUCUUCAGCCAGUUUACGUUGCGUUUCCUAGCAAGUGGAAAGCAUUGGCCUAAGAAAACUAUAAAAGCUAAGGGAAUUGAAAAGGCUGGUGCAGCUAAUAAAUAAUUAGGUUGCGGAAACAAAGAGUUUAUUGCUAGUUUGACUAGCAGUAAUUGAGUAGAUAACGGAAUGUGUAACCACCAGUAUAUCUAUUGGAUUCAACUUCAAAGUACAAAUUAUUGAUCAAACAUAAAGAGUUAACUCGAAAUUCCAAAAUGAAAGUACCUCUUCCUUAGAUAGCGAACCAAACGCAAAGGUAUAAGGGGAAUGGCAAAUGGCACAAAAUAUUGUACUAGAUAUUGAUGAAUCAAAUAAAUCUAUCAGGAAAUACUCGUCAGAGAUUAUGUCAAGUUCGAGAAGACGAAACUCGCCAAAAGAACUAGAACAAUUGUUAAGCAACUGCUUGAGGUUUGCUAUCGUAUUCGGAGGGCAAGAGCACUAUCCCAUAUAUCGGUAUCGUAUUCGGAGAGUUAAGUACCUGUACGCUCUGGCUAUCGAGUAGCUUCUCUAUUUGACAAGCGAAAGCUAAGCAUUUGACAAACAAAAACCUAAAAUCUUAGCUCUGGAGGACUUUAGUUAGACUUAUUUAAAAAUGAAUCUUUUAGGGCUUAUUCGAAAAUUUCUACUCAAACAAAACUUAUAGAAAAGCCCCAGUUGGGCCAAAAAAAACCCUCGGCAUCCACAAUAUUAGCUUAAGUAUCAUCUAACAAUCAUGCAAUAUUCUUACGCAAAACCCCCUACUAUACACUCAAAACAAUAAUCAUAAGCUCACACUCAAGACUAUAAUCAUAAUCUUUUAGGGCUUAUUUGAAAAUCUCUACUCAAACAACACUUAUACAGAAGCUCCAGUUGGACCAAAAAAAAAUCCUCGGCAUCCACAAUAUUUGUUAUGUAUUAUUUCUCGAUACGAUCUAACAAUCACCAAACACCCUUAUGCAAAAACCCCUACUAUACACUGAAAACUAUAAUCAACCAUAUCAUACACUACUACAACAAAAGGACAUUGAGCAUGCGGAAAAAUACGAUUUUGAGGAAAGAUAAACAACAAUGUCGACAAAAAAUAAAGAAAAAUGAACAAAAGCUCACGAUUUCAGCUAGAGCUCGGUUGGCGAGAAACUGCGCCUUCUCCGCUGCCAAUUCUUCGAGCCGCGUCUCCUCCUGCUUCCUCAUCACCUCAAACACCUAAAACCACCACGAACACAAGAAAUGAAACACCCAGAUCGCAAAAAAGUGAGUAAGAGGUUCACUGGGGCAUUUGAACAAACACCUGCUUGGCGUGGGGAGAGCUGUUGAUCUUCCGCAGCGCGCUCGCCGCGCGCUCGAGGGACUCGGCGUCGAAGCCUCCCGAGGAGGAGUCGGCGGAGGCGUGGGGUUCGGCGCCGGCUUUAGCGGGCGCCGCCGAAGUCGGAGGACGAGAAGGGGUGGGGGUGAGGAAGGAGAAGGGGCCAUCGGCGUAGGCGCGGUUCGAGAGCGCCGCAACCGCCGCCGCCGCCGCGGCGGUGGCGGCGGCGGUAGCCCGGCGGAGCGGCGGCGGCGGCGGCGGAGGCAUGGGGGUGGUGGUGUUGGUGGAGGAGGACGAGGAGGAGGUGAGGGGCUUUUAGGAAGGGGCUUAGUAUUAUACUCUUUGUUUGUUAAAAAGAGGCAAGUGAAAUUUUUUUACAUAUAGGUUGCUGUAGAAGCACAUAUUUAUAUACUGUAGCCCUCUAAACUUGAUACCCAAGAUUUUUUUUUUUUUUUUUUUUUUUUUUUUUUUUUUCUCUUGUAGAGAAGUUUUCUUGUAGCCUAUCUUUUAGGUCAGCAGUUCGAGCCUCCAUUUUAGCAUAAAUUGGCACUCAGGCCUCAAGUUUAAUAUAUUUGUAAGGUAUAGGACACUGUAGACAAUGCCUAAGAAAAAAAGUGCUUUGGAUUGUCCAAUACAAAUCAUAUUGAAUCACUAAAAAAAGUGCUUUGGAUUGAAUCACUAGAAUGUUUUUACUGAAUAUUGAAGCACAUUUUUAGAGCUAAGAGCUCAGAGAGAGAGAGAGACAGAGAGAGAAUUAUGAAUCUUCUGAAUUUACAAACUGUACAGGCGCGGCAUCAACAAGCCAAACUCACAAAUUAGAUGAUUCAGAAUAUCUGUUCAAUCCACUAAACUCUCUCUCUCUCUCUCUCUCUCUCUCUCUCUCUCUCUCUCUCACACACACACACACACACACACACACACAUAAAAAGGCCUAACAUAGAUGGCAAUGUAAGAUGGAGCAAUACACAGGGAAUGAACAAACAGAACAGCUGCAACAGAUAAUAACCUAAAGAAUCAUCAUAGGAAGAAUAAAUUUACAGUUAAGUAGAAAGAGACAUUGCCCUCCCUAUUUCCAGUAUACAAUAAAAAUCGUCGAUUGUUCGUUGCCACCACAAUAGCUCUUAUAAAAGAAACAAAAAAAAAAAUCGCAAAAUACAUCCAGUUCUUGGAUUUCACAUAAACAGAACAUUUGUAUAUCUAGCAACAUGGAAUUGCAAAGAGGAACAACAACAGUUGCUGAUCGAGUUCGGCAAACCGAAGCAAAGAAAUUAGUUCUACACAGAAAAAGACUAUCUAAGAGUUGGUUUAAAAAUCAUCUUCAUCAUCCAAUUCUUGGUCAUUCGAAGGCCGGAUUCUUUUCCCCUCCCUCAAUGCAAUCCUUCCCCCUUUCUUCGGUUUUCCUCUGAAAAAAAAAAGGGAAAAAAUAAUACGAAAAUGAAUUCUUAUGAUCAUCAUCUCCUAUUCAAAUAAUAAUAAUCUCUGAGACAUUUUGACUUCGUUCCGGGAAUUAUUCCGAGUGAACUCACUGUCCAUUUACUGGAGUGCUUCCUCCUUUCAACCGACCCGGCCCGUACUCGGCUCUUCCAUCUGCAAUCAAUAAACAAUAGAUUAUUAGAGAAAACCAAACUAUCUAAGAUGGAUUGUGAUUCUUCGAUCUUUCCGAUGCAAACUUACCUUCUCGUCCGGCUAAAUGCUCUUCAACCUGGAAAAAUGAGGAGAUGGGCAUUUACAAAUUACCAGGCGAAUGCAAAAAGAAUGCGCUGUUUGUAAGAUGAUAUGACUCCAAUAAUCUGAUUCCUCAAAUAAAAUUCAACUUGAAGCCUAUACCUAACAACAGUGUAAUCGAAUGUGUACUUUUGAAAGAAUUUCAACAUAAACUAAUUAAAGGACAAAAUGACGUAAAGCAAGAAUAAUCUGUAAAUGCAUCACGUUUGAUAAUCAGAAAAGAUGUAAAUUUCAAGGGUUACGUGUGCGAAAAUCUCUAUUACUCAAUAAGUUAUUAUAGUUACAUACUGCUGGAGAGGUAACCGAUGACAAUGAGAAGAGCCUAUCAUCAGGCUGAAACUUCCGGGAGCGCUUGAGGCUGAAGGAAUAAAUUCAAUAAAGUUUAUGUUAUGAUAUGUUAAAUAUCACCCAACACGAUAAUUCAACUUAUUGAGGUUUAAACUGAUAAUAUAAUAAGAUAUAGCAAAUAAUCACUAUCCUAUAUAGUUAAUGAAGGUUGACUCGCCUCGUAAAGAGAGAAUCUUCCUCUAAUAGACCAAAACUAAGGCAUAAUCGGAAUUAGUCGCUAACGAUGGGAAAUAAAGGACUGUUUUGGUUCCUAGGAAAAGCGUAGAAAAAAAUUUCUCCGGAAAAUUUUUUUUCCAUGGAAAACCUCUUUCCAGUUUUCUGCCUGUUUGGCUCUAAAGAAAACAAGCUUUUCUGAAAAACUUUUUCCAGUUCGUUGAAAACUAGUGUUUUUGUUUCCAAAAAAAAAAAAAAAAAAAUCAAAAAACGAAAACGCUAAUUUUCCUCGGAGCCAAACGGGCAAAAAAUUAGAAAAGAAGUUUUCCAUGGAAAACUUCUUUCCAUGCUUUUCCUGGAAACCAAAAAGCCCCUAAAGUAAUUGCACGGAAGUACUCAAAUCCAAAUAAAUAGAAUCAAGUUAAGAGACAAAUUGUAGAGAAGAGGUCUAAACAAGGUUAACUGAAGCAGCUUACUUGGUGGUGCUCUUAGACGAUGACAAAAAUCCUUCGAAACCUUUAAGUACACUUCCAAACUGAUUCGAUUCUUGCAAGUAGGUAGUCUCCAAGUCAUAGACCUUUGAAGCAUGGAGUAGCAAGUGUGAAUGUACUUAGAACAAAAGCUAAUAUUAAAAAAAACGAAAAGAUUAAAAAUAAAAAAGGUGGCGGCAGAGAGAACGUGUAAACUGAAAUUCAAAUUACAAAUUGGAUCCAACUAGGAAACGGGAAAUCAGAGUACCUCUUAUUCGACUAUCUAGUGGAGUUUUGAGUACAUAAAGUAAAAUUAGGGGUCGGGGUCAUCUAUCAGCUUAAGCUUUUGAAGAACAUGGUUUACGGUUCUUUCCCACAUUGAUUCAAAUAGGAAGAAGUUGAACAAGUAAUAAAAAGAACAUACAUAGAAGUGCAAACUAUGUAGUAAGCUACAACAUGACCCAUCUCUUAUCCACUAAUUUCCCAAAAUCUGCAAGAAUCAAACCAGGCGAUUCAACUUACAUCAAAAUUCCACUAGUAAAUUUGCGAAUUGCAAGGGCCUAGGUUUCUACAAAUUCAAUUUUUUGAAGAAAAACAGAUGAUUCGAUCCCUCCCAUACAAGCUAUAAACAAAAUCCUCAUAAAAACACCAUUUUGAUUAAAAACAAAGAUCUAAACCAAAAGAAACAAUCUACAUAUAAUUCUACCGGUAACAAAUGUAGUAGUUUACCAAAUUGCAAGGGUCUAAGCACAAAAAAUUAGAGUUUUUUCAUAGAAAGAAAAAAAAAAAACCCCAUAAUCAAAUCCGUCCCACAUAAAUACACACAAAAUCCCCAAAAGAACACCAUUUUGAUUAAAAAAAAAAUAGAGGUUCCACUACAGAAACUGAAACCAAAAAGGAAUAACCUCCAUAUAAUUCUACAGUACAGGUACCCCAAGUUCUAGAUUUGUAAAUUACAAGGAUUUAAGUGCCUACAAAUCCAAUUUUUCAGAGAAAAACCCAUGAUUCAAUCACUAACAUACAAUUUAUACACAAUAUCCCCCAUAGAUCACCAUUAUGAGUCAAAAAAUAAAGAUUUGAACCGAAAGAACAACCUUUAUACAAUUUUACUAGUGCACAGUUUGUAAAUUUGCACAAUAAAAGGGUCUAAGCACCCAAAAAAAAAUCCAUUUUUUAACAGAAAAAACCCAUGAUUCAAUCCUUCCCACACAAAUUAAACACAAUAUCGCCAUAAGAUCACCAUUUUGAGUACGUGAGAAAGAUUUAAACCAAAAGAAAACAACUUCCGUACAAUUCCACAGGUAUCCAAGUGCUAAAUUUGCAUUUUACAAGGGUUCAAAUGCAAAAAAAAAAGUCCAAUUUUUCGUAGAAAAAAUAAACCCAUGAUUCGACCCAAUCCCUUCCUAUGCAAACAAGAGAUCAAUUAAAAGCAAAAUCAAAAAGGGGAAAAGAAAAUACUUGUCUCUCGAUGCUUCGGAGCUCCUCCUGAAGCUUCGCCCUCUUGCUCACGAGCGCGGCGAGCAUGGCCGAGGGGUUCGACGCCCCCCUGUGCCCUAAAUCCAAUGGCCAUUAGGGCAUCCGAACAACAAAGAAAUUACCAAAAAAAAAUGCAAAAUUCGAAGAAAAAUCGAGAAAAUUUGGGGCGAAAUUUAGAAAACUAGGGUUUUAAAGCGCCACAGUUACCUUCAUCUAUUUCUCCCGCGAGAUUUCGCAUCCGAACCCUUCUACGAGUUCGUAAAUAUGAAAAAAAAACAGAAAAAAAAAAUAGCAAUAGUAUGUGUGUAACUGUGUAUAUGUACCUAUUGGGUAAAUUACACACUAGUCCCCAACAUUUUACCGAACUUUAAUUUGGUCCUCCAACCUUUAAGUUCAACAUAAGCGGCCUCUAAACUCUUAACAAAAGAGUUACACUUUAGUCCUUGUGACUAUUUUAUUCAUCCCACAUUUCAAACCAGCUAUAGCCUAUUGAAUUAUAAAAUUUGUUUGGUAUAAAAAUGGGAUCUCAAAAGUAAAAGGUUACUUUCAUAUAGGUCCCUAUAAAUAUAGUAAAUUACAAAUGUAUCCCUAUAAAGUUUAAUUGUUAUAUGUUGUUUCUGCAACAGUUCCGAUGUUUUCAAAUAUAUCAUUAUCGUUAGAAUCCGUUAAAAGAAAUUAAUUAAUCAUAGAUAAAAUACUUAACCGUAAUUAGUUAAUGAGGUGAAUUAACCUUUGUACCCCUUUUCACAGUUGAGAUUUUUGGAUAGAUAAAUUUGUGAUUGCAAAAAUAUUAUUUUACUUAUAAAAUAAAUAGUAUUUUAAUAGUAACAAAUAAUAUGGAUAUAUUUAAAAAUAUUAGAGCAAACAUGCAGCUAAUAAUUUUCACUCCAAAAUAAGGACUAAAAUAAAAUAUUGUUGAUAGUUUGGGGACUAAAAGAAACCAUUCCCUCUUAUUAAGCUAACUUUGAUAGUUUUAUUAAGAAGAUAUUUUUUUAAAAAAAAAUUUAAGUUUAGAUAUAUUACACAAGCAUAGAAGAUGAUACGUCAAAUCAUUUCAGUGAAAUUUUGCAUUCGAAUUCAAUAAUCAUCUUAAAUUUUUGAACUUAUUCGGCACCUUAUGCGUGCUAAGAAGUUUGAGUUUAGUUCUCGUUCUUAUUACCAUCUAUUGCUAGUUGAUUGGAUCGUUUUCAUGCUUAGUAGCUUGAAUGUAAUUGUAAAUAUGCUGUAAUGUAGUAGCUGCGGAAUAUUUGAGAGUUUUAUAUAUGGCCUAAUUAGACAAGAAAAAUUGCCGCUCCUACCUAUGUUGUUAAUAAAGUUCAGAUUAAGCUAAGUCACAAUCGUGAAACGGAGAUGCACUCGUAAAACGCAGAUGCAAUGUCUGUAAGUUUUAAAUAAAUAAAUUAUUUUUUUCUAAUAGUUUGAUAUUUUGGAAUUGUGAUCAGAGCGGAGAAUCCAACAACUCAAUCAGUGGUAUUAGAGUAUGUCACAAAUUCGAUCUUGAACAAUUUUUAGCAUCAAGCUUAGGAUAAAGGUUAAAGUAAUAUUUCUCCCCAAAAGGUUUGAACUUACGCGAAGAGUGGGAAAUAACUUUUUUUCCUUUAAAUCUUAAGCUGUCAGAGAACUGUAUUUUGAUCUUUUAUAUUAAACACUCCAUUUGGGAUCAAAACUUUAAUUAUCUUUUUUUUAUAAACCUAGGAUAGGAAAUUGAAUUAGAUGGCAUGAAUUAAAUAAGCUCGAAGGUUGGAAAAAAUUGAAUUUAGAAUUUUUUGCCCUGAUGUUAUGAAAAUAAUUAUUUUUCACAAAAGGUGUGUGCAAAAUAAACAUAUGAAAUAAACUCAAAUCUUUCAGGCUAUCAUAAAUAUUAUAUAUGUGUAUGAAAUUUAUUAUAAUUUUAUGUGGCCAACAUAUUUUUUGCUCAUGUAAUAACUAGUGGAGGACAAGUGAACAUCAAUUAUUACAUUUUGUAUAAAAUUGUAGGCUGAAAUAUAAGAAAUAUGUCAAUUUAACUAAUUAGAUUUGUUACAACCUAUUGGCAAAAUUUUCACAGCUUCACAUGAACAAAAAGCCAAAGAACUAUCUAAAGGUAAAGUAUUUAAGUAAAGAGAUUAAGAAAGACACAUAUUACACCCAAUAGAUUUAAUUAUAUUAAGCAGUAAAGAUACCAUCUUAAUUACAUAUGAUCACUCUGAUCAUAUCAAAUAUGGUGAUCUGUGAUAAUAUUACAUGAGAUAAAGUAGAGAAAUACAAAGAUGCUGAGAAGCCAGUUAUGUUUCAUUUUCUUCUUGGAGCAGCUUAUUGUUGUCUUGUUUUCCUUUCCUCUACUAUCUGUCUCUCCAAAGAAGCAAGUACUGGUCCUACUUAGUAUACUAUAUAGCAUACUCUAGCCUUGCUUCAGUAGAAAUUCACGUACCUUAUCCUGAAAGAGAGGACGACGAUAUCGAUUAGAUUUAUACAAAAGAGCAAAAAAAGUACCUUUCUUAGCAAAACACCGAACGGUUACCGUAAAAGAUUGAUUAGUUAGUAUGUAAUAAGAGACGUACUUAUGUGAAGAUUUGGCUCUGAAGUGUGUUUCAUUUGCGUAUAUAGUAGGACGACGAUAUCGAUUAGAUUUAUACAAAAGAGCGAAAAAAGUACCUUUCUUAGCAAAACACCGAACGGUUACUGUAAAAGAUUGAUUAGUUAAUAUGUAAUAAGAGACGUACUUAUGUGAAGAUUUGGCUCUGAAGUGUGUUUCAUUUGCAUAUAUAGCGCACUAUUGUAUCAUUACAAGAAGCAUUGAUUAUGGUGCAUAUGAAAAAUAGGCCAUUUUUAUAUUUGUGAGUCAUGCACCAUGGCAUAUUUUAUGCAUAGGCCCGAAUAAUUGUUUAACGUUAAGCAAACAUCUCAGCAUGGCCCACAAAGCCAUGCAUGCAUGCCAACUCAGGCCUUCCAGGCAUGCAAAACAAAGUUCCUUUUCGGUAGAAAAGUUGUUGUUUGAGAAUUUGCACGAAAAUUAAAGCGUGCACUUUUUCGGCAAGUUUUUUUUUUUUUUUUUUUGGCAAAAAGUUGGUAUAUAUGGUAAACAGUCUAAAUUAUUUUUGCUUUCACUAAAACUAACAAUAAACAUUUUGUUACAUAGAGUAAUAAGAACAAAAUAUUAUAGGGAAUAACUGCUUCUAUCUCUACGCCUUAUAGGCAGUAUUAUCACCUUUAGCAUUAGAAGAGGAGUUAUCAUUCUCCGACUCGAUGCUUUUGAGGUCUUUGAUGAGCAUCUCAUAGUGUCGCUCCACUUCUUCGGCAGUUUUCCCCCCACCAACGGCCCGUGCUAUCUUCUGCCAUCGGUUGGGUGUGCCCUCAUCAUACCUAUCUAACGCAUCCUCAAAUAGCUUGUUCUGCUCUUUGGUCCAUGAAGACAUAUUUCAAGAAGUUGGAAGAAAAAAAAAAGGUAUGGAGAGUUCAAGAAUUGAAUGAGGUGAGGGAGAGAAAGAGAAAAUAAGAAGAAAUAGAGAGAAAGGCAGAUAUGCACAUAAAGUUUGAGUUACCGAUGGCGCUAUUUAUAAUGAGAAGAAGCCAAUUGGCCAAGCGGGGUAGGGAGAGAACGACAAAGUGGAAGAGAAAGAGUAUAAGCAGAAUGACUAACUUGUUUAAGAGCCACAAUUGAAGAGAGAACGAGAAUUUGGCAAUAAGAAUUUUUGUCUAUGUAUGCCAAGUAAGAAAAGUCUAUAUCUACUUAAAGAGAAUCAUCAUCUUCCUAGGCUUAGAGAAGAUAGGAAAGGGUCUAUUCAUCUCUUUUGUCCCCCAUUCUUAUGCCAGUCUUAUUUUUGUUAUGAUUAUAACUAUAUGUUAUGAUUCUCUUCUCAAUCAUAUACUUAAGAGAGUUUAUGGUCCAUGUUCACAACAUUUGAUGAGCACUUUCUCUAAUCAUGUGUCUCAUCUUUAGAACUUUGCUCAAAAAGGAUCUUUGAUAAUUCUCUCCUUUUUAUUUUAUCAUGCCAAUUAAGUUCUCCACAAGUUCUAAAAUGGUCUGCUUUUUAGAUUCCAUGGCACAAGUUGUAGGUUUUAAUGUAAACUUGCACAUUGGAUUCUAAAAGUGUUCUCUUUUAGGUAAUAUAAUAAUCAACAUUAAUUUGUAAGAAAUGUUGGUAAUUAUUCUCUUGUGUAGUCAACAUCCAAUGGAUCCCUUUGCACCAUGGCCUCCUUUAGCUUGUAAUGUCUUAAUCAUGAUCUCAUCAAUAAGAAUAAGAAGUUGCCAUCUUUUUGAACAAGCCUAGUUGGCUUUAUUUAUUUAUUUAUUUAUUUCUUGAGAAAAAGCCAAAUAUAUAUAUAUGUGUGUGUGUGUGUGUGUGUGUGUGUGUGUGUGUGUGAUUCUUACGAUUUAGUUUGGAUAAUACUAACUACACAAAUUAAUUAGAGUUGUUUAUAAAUAUUUCAUAUUUUCAAUGUGCCGAUUGAACACUAUUUACAUUAAUCAACAUAAAUAACUAAAAUUUUGCUCCCCCGAACUAAUUAGAAGAUUAAAGGAGAAGAUGAUAAAGAUUGUUUCCUUAACCUAAUCUAGAGAAAAAAAAAAAGAGUAAAAUGAAAAUAGUGGACCUUCAAGCUACUCGAAUCUUGAGAGAAUGGUUUAAAGACGAUCCCCGACCCGAAUAAAUUAAAUAAAAUUUUAGAAAAGGAUGUGAACAACGGCCCCCAAACUAAACAUCUCAAAACAUCUGGAUCAAGCUCAUGACAUGAAGAACAUACAAGUAGAAAAACUUAUAAAAGAAAGAAAUAAUUCUAUAAAGAAAAUGCCUCUAUACAAUUGCCUCUACAAGUGCCUUUUUUUGUAGUAUAGAAAAUAUUUUCAAAGAGUAAUUCUACAAAGAAGAGAAAAGGAAAGUAGCUUGAGCUUUUAUUUUCUAAAAUUUUCUCCUACUUGUUUCAUUAAGUAGUUGUAUAUGACCUCAUCAAUUAAGAUGACAUCUCCAUUAAAAAUGCAAGCUCAAAUAAUAAAAUAACAAGAUAAUUUCGUGAACCAUUUUGAUUUAGAGAACUCAAAAAAGAUACCCCAAUUACAUUAUGAACUGGAUUGGUGGGGGGGCCGUACGUAUGUUGGAAAGUUUUCAUAGGUCAAUUCAUACACAAUCUAUUCUUAUCACUUUUUUCACCUUUAUUCCUAAGUUGACAUCAAUUAUGAUGGUAUAUGAUUUCUACUAAAAAAAGGAAAAAAAAAAUGGUAAGAUUUUGUUUGUACAAUUUAUGUUAAUUAGUGUGUAAAUGUCAUUUCUGAAUCUUUAUACAGCAGCAUCAUGAAUGAGACAUCAAUUUAAAUUUCUAAAUGUGGUUUUUUUAAUUUUUUGUUUUUACUUUUUAAUGAAUCACAACCAUUAAAAAUAUUCUAUACAAGUUGCACCUUUACUUUGGUUCCAACAAAAAGAGCCCAAGUUGGAUGCUCACCAUUUACGCAGAAUUUCUCGUAGUAUUGUAUAUUGAAAGAAUCAAUAAUUUGAAUCUGAAUCUUUAUACAGUAGCAUCAUGAAUGAGACAUCAAUUUGAAUUUCUAAAUGUGUUUUUUUUUUAUAUUUUGUUUUUAUUUUUUAAGAAUCACAACCACUAAACAUAUUCUAUACAAGUUGCACCUUUACUCUUAUUUCCAACUAAAAAGAGCCCAAGUUGGACACUCGCCAUUUACGCGAAAUUUCUCGUAGUACUGUACAUUGAAAGAAUCAAUAAGCACGCCAAAAACCAUAUAGUUUUUAGUAUCAUUCAUGAGUCAAGUUACAACAAAACUAAAUUCUCAAAUUGCACAAUCAUACAAAAGAAUUUGUGAUAUAACAUAUAACUAGUGAUUUUCGAUAGCUUUUCAUUAGCUAACAUGAAGUUAAUUUUCACAAAACAGUUUCAAAGUGGGCAAAAUUGUCUAUUUUCACAAUUUUUCGCCAAAAACCUCUGAUUCUUUAUACUAUAUGAAUCUUCAGAAGAUCCGGAUGGACGAACUAAAAGGCACUUUCCGCAUUUCAAAUUUGUGAGGGGUUUUGAAUUCGUAAAAUAUGACUAUAACUUUCAAAUAU
rnacentral:lncRNA from 1 species